GGGCAUAGCUCAGUGGUAGAGCGCAUGUUAAACAUGCAUGAAGUCCUGAGUUCAAUCCUCAGUGCUUCCU
rnacentral:tRNA from 1 species